CAAUUUAUUCUAUAAUCCUAAAGAACCUUAAAUUACAAUUCACUGGUAAAUUAAGAUUUCUGAAGUUGUAAGAAAUGGGGCCAAAACAAGUCACGCUCAAAAAGGGAUGGUUAACACAAGAAAUGUGCUAUGAGUAAAGUGCAUGAAAGAAAGCCUGCUCAGCUAAAUGAAGUAGACAAAGAUCAGAAGUCAAGGGUCAUUCGCCAGAGCGGCAGCAGGCUCGAAAACCACACUGCAAAUUCUGGCAUCCACUGGCGGUAUCAGCAUGAGGACCUGUAUGAAAACAGAAAAAUGUGAAAGGAGGAAUUUCUUAGAGAUCACAUAAAAAUAAUUUUGCUUAUGAAGGAGUUAAACAUUCAUUGGUUUUACUAGCAGUACUUAUAUGAUAGAAGUAAAUCUCAUGAUAAGUGUAUAAGAAAUUAUUCAGACACAAAACUCAAUAGCAGCUUGACUUUAAUUAAUAUAUCCUUCAUGGUCCAAAAGGUAAGUGGAAGAAGGGAAAAAAAUAAUUUUUAGCAACAACUUACAAUAUAAAAAUCCAAAAUGGAAAUGAGACAAUCCACAGAAGCAAGAUUGCCAAGCUAACUUAUAAAAAGAUUCUUAUAAUCUGAACAUCCUCCCUAGAAAUGUAAUAAAGGCAAAAAACAGCCCUAACUAUAAUCGAUCAGCUAAAGAAGUCAGUAUUGAGCAAUUACAAUAAAUAUUAUCUUCAAAUUUUAAAGCAAAAUAAACUAUAUAGACAAAGAUUUAAUAUAUUUGCCAUAUUUUUAUUUAGUAUUUGUAGCCAAAAAUAUCUAUAUAUGGUAGGGUUAGAUGAAAUUAUUUUCCAAAAUUAAAUAUAUAAUGAGUGAUCAAUUAAACUGUAGCCAUAGUAAAAAUUAUCAUUCACUUACAAAGAAUAAAAAAAAAUCUGUGGAAUAACUGACAUUUUAUCCCAGUCACACUAUGCUACCCAGGCACUAGAUACAAGACCCAUUAGGGAACAUAGCUGAGAAUUAGAAAAUAUCAAAGAAGAAGUUUCACAGCACAUAUUCAAAUGUCAAGUACUCUGAAUGAAUGAUAUUUUCAUAAAAGCAGGCAAAUGUGGAAAAGAUUGUUUCAACUAUAUUGAAGUCUUUCAUUAUGUCUAUACCAUGAACAAAUAAGGAGUAGUUAAUUUGUUCUUUACAUAUCAACAAGAACAACCAAAAUACUUGCAAUUGUGAUAUAAGGAACAAUACAAAAUGAAAACUGUACAUGAAAUAUAAUUUUACUGCAGAAUAUAUCAAAUGGAUUGUAACUGAAAAAUCACAGUACUCUGGGGUGAUAUCUAGCUUAACUCAAAAACACAUUUUAAAUUUACUUUUUAUUUUCUAAAACAGCACUCGGCUGCAACAACAACAACAAAAAAGCAAGUAAGCUAAUACUACCAUAACAAUUACUUCCAACUAAACACAUAGAACACAUUAAUUUCCAGAAAUUUAACUUUUCCUUAUAUUCCCCAAAUGGCACAUACAAAAUACAAAGGGCAAAUUUCUUAAGACAUACAGUCUUAGGAAAGAAACUAAUAAACAUUACGCAAAUAUGUGGAACUACAACAGCUUAUGCUUUCAGUCAUAUUAAUUUUUAAGUUGAUAUGACACCUGUGAUUAGCUUAAUGGCGGAGUAGAUAUGGGAAUGAGCAAUGGUAUAGAUGAAAGGAGACUGCCCACAGGUUUAUAACUGCUGAAGCUGAUGGUACAUGAGGAUUCGUUGUAUUAUUCGAUGUUAAAUUUUUCCAUAACAGGAAGUUUAAAAUUAUUUUAAAUAUAAAGUUGAAUUACUAAAGCCAAUUUUUAUUUAAUCAAAAUAACAAUCUUUUCUGGUCUUUAAAUGAGAAGUUAAAUAUGUUAAAUAUUUAAAAUUCACAAAGCAGCAUUUUGUUAAAAUUAUUUUCCCUUAAAAUAAGAAACAAUGUUAAUCAUCUUAAUCACAAACUCAAGAUAAAAUGUUUUAGUAUAUAUUGAAUACUUAUUAAAAAUGCCCUGAGAAGCAACCCUAUGAUCUGAAAUUCUUCUCCCACUGCCAAUCUUUAACCAAGUUUUUCCUUUGAAUAUAAUGCCAGCUUUACCCACUGUGCACCACCCAAUCCCCAUUAUUCCCCUUCUUAGCUUGUCUUUCCUCACCCCUUACACUGCCCACUGUUUUGUCUACCAAUCACCUAGUGCCUCUCCUCAAGACACAAGCCCUGCCUCACUGCCAUUCUCCUGCUCUGACCCUUAGGUCCAUCAUGAAAUGCCAGAUUCACUGGGUUUUGCCAAAAUGGAUCUGAUUAUCAUUUUAUCAGAUUAAAAUUCCAUUCUAAAUUUUUUUAAAGAAAUAAGAAGAGACAUGAAGACUCUAUACAAUUUUUCCAAACUGCAACUCCCUCAAAUAUUUCAAAAUGUCUAUACCAUUAAGUCCUCACUUAACAUCGAUAGGUUCUUAGAAACUGCGACUCUAAGCAAAAUAACGUAUAACAAAGGUAGUUGUUUUGUUUGCAUCAUUAUAAUGAAAUGACACUAUUUGAGGACUUCCUGUAUGUUUUCUUUAAAGUCAGUUUCCAAAAACAUACCACCGACACGGAGGACUUACUAUAGUCCUAUUUUUUUAAAAGGACAGAAAGGUAAGGGAGAAAUAUUAUGCUAAAUUUCAACAGUAGCCUAAGAAAAAUAUGCCAUAUCUGGAAGCAAUGGAAGUGAAGUAUGCAAUUGGUUUUCAAAGGAUAAAGUAAAAGGGAGACUCAAAGGAGCAAACAGAUCAAAAAAGCUAUUCUCCUAGAGAUUCAGAUCUAACCUGACAUGACACAGUUUUUCACCACCCUCCCCAAAAGAUGUAGGGUCCACAUGCUCAGUUUCCACCCUAGCUACCUGGGUCAUUAUGCUCCUGAAGUCUAAGGGAUGGUGGCAGAGAUAAUGGGGGAAGAAAAAUGUAGAAAUAAAAGUUUUUACCCUGUAUUAGGUAAAAAGCACAAACCUACUGUCAGCAUCUCCUUAUUUAUCACAAAACAAAGUUCCUGCCUAUAUUCAUAUAAAAUGUGUCUACUCAGUGAGUAGACACAUUUUAUAUGAAUAUAGGCAAGAACUCUGAAUACAUUUUAAGUUCACCAGAAUUGAGUUUCAGUGAGAUUCUAAGUAUACAGAGUGAAGAGAGAGAAUAUAUUGUUUUCAAAUUUGAAAGCAGAAUCUGUUUAAAGAAGGCUAUAUGAACUUAAUCAGUAACUAUAGUAUUAAAUGACUCAAAACUACAAUCCUAUGAUAAGGUAAAUAAUAAGAGUAGUUACUGGUAUUUGAUCCCAAUAAUCAUGAAAGUGACAGCACCCAUUAAAGGAUCUGCUGAAGGCCUGAGCCAAAACAAAAAUGAAGACAAGCACUGUUUUAAACUCAGUAUCACAUUGUAGAAAACAGGAGACUAACACCUUCCAAAGCAUGGAAAGUAUAAGCAACAUUAACAAUAAAAUCCUUAAGUAACACAGAAGGACUGUUCAGAGAAGUGAAUAAAUGGACAACAGAAUAAAUGGACAACAGAAAAGGUGAGGGAAAACUAGAAAGAAAUAUGACUAAGAUAUGAUGGAUUGCCAGGUAGACAGCUAUGCUUUAACAGACGAAGAUAAUUCACAAGGUAGUUCCCUUUAAAUAUUUGACUUAUCACCAGCAAACUUCCAUCUCGAUGUAGGACACAGAACCCAAAUGGUUAAGAUAUAUAAAGCCUAAAUUACAUUAAGGAAUAAUAAAGAAAAUAGAAAAAUAUAAUUGAAUAAUCAUUAAAAUAUUUAAAUGCGUGGUAAAGAAUAAUCUUAUAAGAAAGCAUUUUUAAGUAUCAGAUGAUAGGAAGUAUAAGGUUAGCUAUUAUUUCUCCAGACUUUUAUUAUUGAAUAACUUGUUUUUACUGAGUUCUAAGUAUAUUACUUAUGCUGUAUAUCUGCACUUACCUUCACUUACCUUUAAUUCCUCUUUAACUUAAAUUAGAAACAUAAAAGAGCACAUCAUCUGAGACUGUGUCACCUCCAAAACUAUGAGCUAAUCUAUCUUAAUUUAUAAAUUAUACAUACAUUGAAAUGCAAAUCAGUAAAAAAGUUUAUUUGCUAUCAUUGCUCAAAUGUUCUUCACAGCUCUACAACUAUGCUAUUCCAUUUAACACUUCUUAAAUGUUAAAGAAAUUUUUUAAUGUUAUGGCUAAGAAGACUUUUCAAAUCUUAUCAAAUAAAUUUAAAAGUCAUAAAGAAUCAUUCAGAAGAAUCUAGACUUGCAUUUUAUAUCAAGACACUUUAUGUACAGUGUCUUGCACUGUACUGGGCACUGUUUGAAUAUAUGAUAACUAACUUAUUAUCUCCAAAAUCUCUGCUAAUGCUUGGAAAAUAGAUCAUUCUGCUUUACUUAUCAUGUAUUACUUAAUGACUAAUGUUUAUCAGUAUUAACUUCUUUUACAUUUAGUAACCUGAUAGUUAACUAUAUAUGUUUUCUUUUAAAAAAUAUAUUUUUAGCUAAACGUCACUUUCAAAUAUUUGAAAUAUAAUUUGUCACCUAAAUACACUUCUCCAUUGCUCUAAUACCACGUAUUAAAACACACUACUUUCAGAAAUAAUAAAAAUAGUAACAAGGAUGCCCCUGAGCAUUCACUAGAUAUCUACUGUACAAGCUGAGCUGUUUUGAAAGAUACUGGAACAAGUGUCAUCUUGCAAAACUGGAUACAACACAACUUCUUUCUAACACUUUCUAGGUUGUCCACAUAUCCUUUUAAGGAAAAGACUAUGAGAGAGCAUUGCUUUAAGAACAACCUAUGUGGAACUCAGACACAAGUUAUUUAACAAGUCACCCUGUAAAUUUUAAAGGCUUUCCAUUCCCCCAAAUCAUGCUUCAAUAAGCUAUAAAAGGAGAGUUAAUAUUGGAUUAUACAAGCACUGAAAUUUCCUUUCAAAUCUUUCAAAGUCAGAUAUCUUCAUCACAAUUCAUUUAUUUUAAAAAAUCAAUCAUUUAUCCAAAAAAACUUUUACAUUCAACAAAAGGAAUAUAAUAGCUCCUCUGAAACUAUAUAUUCAAAACAAGUUUAGAGGAAAUGCAUAAGGACAAAGUGCAAAAGAUUUUAAUUAUUUCAUUUUAUCCCAUCAUCUAAAUUAUUUCAAAGUUUAAAAACAUACAAACAUAAAACAAGUAAGCAUAAAAACAAACUGAAACCCAGUCCCCUCCCUCUACCCAAUAACAUCUAUGAAUCCAAAAAUAAAUAUAAUGAAUUCAAUAGUGAGAUUUAUUCCAAAGCAUAACCUAUGCUGAAAUCAAUAUGAAAAAUUCAAAUGCAACAUACAAAUAAAAUUUUUUCUGAUAAAAAACAAUUGCUUAUUAAUUACUCUUGAUAAUAUGUCCUAUAAGCCUUAGGAAGUGGAAGUAUAGCACUAAACCUACAAUAAAAUAACUUUAUGUUAACAAAACUCCGUUCUCAAAUCCACAGCAUCCACAAAAGUAACAGCUUCACUGCAUCAAUCAAACUUUGUUUUCAUAGGCUUAGCAUGUUGCAACUACAAUGACAUUCACUUUCACCAACUACGAUGACAUUCACUUUCACCAACUAUGAUGACAUUCACUUUGGCCAUUCCUUGAUUAUACACAGAAGGCAACAGAAAACAAAGAAAUGUCCAACUUAGUGCUGAUAUAUCAAGAACAUGGGAGGUCAUCUCCUGCAUAACAAUGUGAUUCCUGAAAUAAGAGAGCUACCAUCUCCAGUUUCCUCUUAUAUAUUUUAAGGAAAACCUAAUCUCGAGAAAUAGCAGUUUUCUCCAUUUUGCGGUAUGUCAUUACUCCCUCUGGUCUUCCUGACUCCUGUCAAUUGUUCUGCCUGAGAAAAAUUUUGUUGAUUUUCCUGUCAUCUUAAGGUGAACUGGGCACUCAAAGACAAUAGGGCGCAGUAUAAAAAGACAGGUACAUAGUAGUCUGAGCCAUCUAAAAUUUUCUCCAGUUAUAAAUACAGGAGGUUGAUUUGCUUACUAAUAACAGAAGAGCAGCUUUUUAUGCUUCUGGGAAAUUCAGUCUCUACCAGUGACUAUCAAAUGUGCAAAAAGGCACUGAACAUACUUUGAAAAAGCAUGUUCAAUAAGACCACUGUAGGGUAGAAUAUGUUUAAAAGAACAAAAUCAAGAAGUAUUUCUUGUGAUUUUUGAAAGUAGGUUCAGGAAUCAAUUUCCAAAAUACUACAGGAAUUCUAGUCAUGUCUAAAGCAUCUCAGACUCUUCUCAAUACUACAUACUGUCCUCUCCCCUCAAUCUUUGCUAAGAGUUGUCAUCAGAUCCAGAAACUCUGGAAGUCCACAUUACCAAAGUCCUCAUUUUUCUACAUUUGAUAAAGCUGUCUUACAAGAAAUAAGACUCUAUUAUCCCUAAGAAAUCAGUGUAUCUAGAACAUAAAUAGUUCUAAAUUCUUAAUGAGUGCUACAAAACUCUAGAGGAAUACCUAAAACUUUUAACAAGAAUUUUAGUAUUUCUAUUAACUUACCAUUUUUGAUUACACUAUUACAUCCCUCAAAAAUCUGACACAAUGGAUAUUUAGAAUAUACAUCUGCAAGAAAAACUUACCUUUCAA
rnacentral:lncRNA from 10 species